rnacentral:rRNA from 1 species
GUCUACAACGGAGAGUUUGAUCCUGGCUCAGGAUGAACGCUGGCGGCGUGCUUAACACAUGCAAGUCGAA